rnacentral:rRNA from 1 species
ACCUGACUGCUAUCGGAUUGAUACUAAGCCAUGCGAGUCAUUGCAGCAAUGCAAGGCAGACGGCUCAGUAACGCGUAGUCAACCUAACCUAUGGACGGGAAUAACCUCGGGAAACUGAGUAUAAUGCCCGAUAGAACACUAUACCUGGAAUGGUUUGUGUUCCAAAUGAUUUAUCGCCGUAGGAUGGGACUGCGGCCUAUCAGUUUGUUGGUGAGGUAAUGGCCCACCAAGACUAUUACAGGUACGGGCUCUGAGAGGAGUAGCCCGGAGAUGGGUACUGAGACACGGACCCAGGCCCUAUGGGGCGCAGCAGGCGAGAAAACUUUGCAAUGUGCGAAAGCACGACAAGGUUAAUCCGAGUGGUUUCUGCUAAAGGAACCUUUUGUUAGUCCUAGAAACACUAACGAAUAAGGGGUGGGCAAGUUCUGGUGUCAGCCGCCGCGGUAAAACCAGCACCUCAAGUGGUCAGGAUGAUUAUUGGGCCUAAAGCAUCCGUAGCCGGCUCUGUAAGUUUUCGGUUAAAUCUGUACGCUUAACGUACAGGCUGCCGGGAAUACUGCAAAGCUAGGGAGUGGGAGAGGUAGACGGUACUCGGGAGGAAGUGGUAAAAUGCUUUGAUCUCUCGAUGACCACCUGUGGCGAAGGCGGUCUACCAGAACACGUCCGACGGUGAGGGAUGAAAGCUGGGGGAGCAAACCGGAUUAGA